CAAUCAAAUUUUCUUGGAUGAUUCUUUUUUCCAUCGACGAUUUGAAGAUUUACUGUGGCCGGUAAAGGAGAAGGUCCGGCGAUCGGAAUCGAUCUUGGAACUACGUACUCUUGCGUCGGUGUGUGGCAGCAUGAUCGAGUUGAGAUCAUUGCCAACGAUCAGGGCAACAGGACGACGCCGUCGUAUGUUGCUUUCACCGACUCUGAGCGCUUGAUCGGUGAUGCAGCUAAGAAUCAGGUCGCCAUGAACCCGAUUAACACCGUUUUUGAUGGACGAGAAAAAGAAGCGGAGGAGAUUUGCUGACGGUGAAAAAGAGUCAAAGACGAUGGAGCAAGCUUGGGUGGUAGGGCAAGGAGGGACCGAAAGCGGUUUGAGGAUCGAGUGAAGGAAGAAGAUAAUGGUGGAAAUGUUGAUGAGAAGCAUGCGAAAGUGAUUGAAUACAAGUCCAAGGGAGACGUGGGGGAUGGAAAAGUUCAGUUUGGAGGCACCACUGAUGAAAAAAGUUCACUGGGGAAUAACCAACGAAUGCAAGAAUCUAUUUCAAUAUUGCACAAAAAGAUGAAUAACUUAGUUUUAGAGUAAUUAAUGUUUUGGCUUCAUUAAUUAUGCAUACAGGACUAUAAUUUUUUAUUUUCCAUGGUGUAAAAUUUGGUUCAUAAAAUGAUUGUAG